GGUGAAGCCAAGCUUGCUUGGUGGAUCAGUGGCGAACGGGUGAGUAACACGUGAGCAACCUGCCCUGAACUCUGGGAUAAGCGCUGGAAACGGUGUCUAAUACUGGAUAUGAGCUGCGGAGGCAUCUUCGUGGUUGGAAAGAUUUUUCGGUUUGGGAUGGGCUCGCGGCCUAUCAGCUUGUUGGUGAGGUAAUGGCUCACCAAGGCGUCGACGGGUAGCCGGCCUGAGAGGGUGACCGGCCACACUGGGACUGAGACACGGCCCAGACUCCUACGGGAGGCAGCAGUGGGGAAUAUUGCACAAUGGGCGGAAGCCUGAUGCAGCAACGCCGCGUGAGGGAUGACGGCCUUCGGGUUGUAAACCUCUUUUAGCAGGGAAGAAGCGUGAGUGACGGUACCUGCAGAAAAAGCGCCGGCUAACUACGUGCCAGCAGCCGCGGUAAUACGUAGGGCGCAAGCGUUAUCCGGAAUUAUUGGGCGUAAAGAGCUCGUAGGCGGUUUGUCGCGUCUGCUGUGAAAACCCGAGGCUCAACCUCGGGCCUGCAGUGGGUACGGGCAGACUAGAGUGCGGUAGGGGAGAUUGGAAUUCCUGGUGUAGCGGUGGAAUGCGCAGAUAUCAGGAGGAACACCGAUGGCGAAGGCAGAUCUCUGGGCCGUAACUGACGCUGAGGAGCGAAAGGGUGGGGAGCAAACAGGCUUAGAUACCCUGGUAGUCCACCCCGUAAACGUUGGGAACUAGUUGUGGGGUCCAUUCCACGGAUUCCGUGACGCAGCUAACGCAUUAAGUUCCCCGCCUGGGGAGUACGGCCGCAAGGCUAAAACUCAAAGGAAUUGACGGGGACCCGCACAAGCGGCGGAGCAUGCGGAUUAAUUCGAUGCAACGCGAAGAACCUUACCAAGGCUUGACAUACACGAGAACGCUGCAGAAAUGUAGAACUCUUUGGACACUCGUGAACAGGUGGUGCAUGGUUGUCGUCAGCUCGUGUCGUGAGAUGUUGGGUUAAGUCCCGCAACGAGCGCAACCCUCGUUCUAUGUUGCCAGCACGUAAUGGUGGGAACUCAUGGGAUACUGCCGGGGUCAACUCGGAGGAAGGUGGGGAUGACGUCAAAUCAUCAUGCCCCUUAUGUCUUGGGCUUCACGCAUGCUACAAUGGCCGGUACAAAGGGCUGCAAUACCGCGAGGUGGAGCGAAUCCCAAAAAGCCGGUCCCAGUUCGGAUUGAGGUCUGCAACUCGACCUCAUGAAGUCGGAGUCGCUAGUAAUCGCAGAUCAGCAACGCUGCGGUGAAUACGUUCCCGGGUCUUGUACACACCGCCCGUCAAGUCAUGAAAGUCGGUAACACCUGAAGCCGGUGGCCCAACC
rnacentral:rRNA from 1 species